GUCAGGUGCAGUGAUGUGCACCUGCAAUUCCAGUGACUUGGGAGGCUGAGGCAGGAGGAUUGCAAGUUGUGAGACCCUGUCUCAG
rnacentral:sRNA from 1 species